GACCCGUUUCUUUUGCACCCGUUUCCUCUUAACGAUUUCUAGGGUCUCUGUUAGCACCUUCUCCCCCUCUUUUUGCUUGAUUUCCACAAAAUUCAAUGGCCGAAACCAGCAAAGAAUUGUUGGAUCAGCGUUCAAAUCCUUCCGUAUUCGAGUGACUUCUAGCGGGCAACAAUGAUUCUGCGUCAAAACCCCAAAAGAAGAAAACUUUGUUGAGCGGGAAUGAGAAAGGAGGAGUUUUGACCACUGAAGUCCCUAAAAGCCAAGAUAUGACAGUCUAUCGUCAUGGUGGAGAUGACAGUUUGUUCAUAGCAAGCAUGUGAAUAGGUGGCGAGACACCAAAUGAUCACUUCGCAAUAUUCUACGCAUUUGGUCAUCAUUGUUAUGCUCCUGGUAUAUUGAUUUCUUGGAAAAAUCAAGGAUUUCUUAGGAGUCAUGACCGAAGCAAAUGAGAAGCUGCAGGCUGAUGCACAGGUAAGAAUCUCUUCACUAUCUGCAGGCUAAAGAAACUGAAGUUGUGUUGACGAGCUCGGAAUAUUGACUCUCUGCAUCAGCUGUUUGAGGUAUAUGAAUUGUAGUUCCAUUUUUUUUUACAGUUGUCUUUGUACUGUCACUGGAACCCAUGCCUGACGAUUUGAGAUAAUGAAGUAAGAUAUCCUAUUUAUGAACACAUAAGGAUAUUUUUGUAAUUUGCAUUAUUAUAAAUAUUUGUUUUUCUUCCUC